rnacentral:lncRNA from 1 species
GGAUAUGAAAUAUCUGAAAUCAACGAAAUUUUCAAUCAAACACAAAAUAUAGAAAGGAAAAACCUGCUUUUACAACGCCAGACGAAACGGGAACAACCACUAUUUAUGUUAACAAAAUUCAACCCAUCUAUACAGAAACUAAAAAAUAUAAUUACAAAACACUGGAACCUUAUUUCAUUAAACCCUAAUUGUUUGAACAUAUUUAAUCACCAGCCUAUUAUAGCUGUUAAAAG